AUUGAACGCUGGCGGCAUGCCUUACACAUGCAAGUCGAACGGCAGCACGGGAGCUUGCUCCUGGUGGCGAGUGGCGAACGGGUGAGUAAUACAUCGGAACGUACCCUGAAGUGGGGGAUAACGUAGCGAAAGUUACGCUAAUACCGCAUAUUCUGUGAGCAGGAAAGAGGGGGGAUCGCAAGACCUCUUGCUUUAGGAGCGGCCGAUGUCGGAUUAGCUAGUUGGUGAGGUAAAGGCUCACCAAGGCGACGAUCCGUAGCGGGUCUGAGAGGAUGAUCCGCCACACUGGGACUGAGACACGGCCCAGACUCCUACGGGAGGCAGCAGUGGGGAAUUUUGGACAAUGGGCGCAAGCCUGAUCCAGCCAUGCCGCGUGAGUGAAGAAGGCCUUCGGGUUGUAAAGGCUCUUCGGUUGGGGAAGGAAAGUAGGCGACGGGUUAAGUACCCUUACGUGUGGAUGACGGUACCGGAAGUAAGAAG
rnacentral:rRNA from 1 species